rnacentral:rRNA from 1 species
UACGUAGGGUGCAAGCGUUGUCCGGAAUUAUUGGGCGUAAAGAGCUCGUAGGCGGUUUGUCGCGUCUGCUGUGAAAACCCAGGGCUUAACCCUGGGCCUGCAGUGGGUACGGGCAAACUAGAGUGCGGUAGGGGAGAUCGGAAUUCCUGGUGUAGCGGUGAAAUGCGCAGAUAUCAGGAGGAACACCGGUGGCGAAGGCGGUUCUCUGGGCAUUACCUGACGCUGAGGAGCGAAAGUGUGGGGAGCGAACAGG